ACGUAGGGUGCAAGCGUUGUCCGGAAUUAUUGGGCGUAAAGAGCUUGUAGGCGGUUUGUCGCGUCUGCUGUGAAAAUCCGGGGCUCAACCCCGGACUUGCAGUGGGUACGGGCAGGCUAGAGUGUGGUAGGGGAGACUGGAAUUCCUGGUGUAGCGGUGAAAUGCGCAGAUAUCAGGAGGAACACCGGUGGCGAAGGCGGGUCUCUGGGCCAUUACUGACGCUGAGGAGCGAAAGCGUGGGGAGCGAACAGGA
rnacentral:rRNA from 1 species